rnacentral:sRNA from 1 species
AUUCUCCUGCCUCAGCCUCUGGAGUAGCUGGGACUACAGUCGCGUGCCACCAACCCAGCUAAUUUUUUUUUUGUAUUUUUAGUAGAGACGGGGUUUCACAGUGUUAGCCAAGAUGGUCUUGACCUCCUGACCUCGUGAUCUGCGCGCCUUGGCUUCCCAAAGUGCUGGGAUUACAGGCGUGAGCCACCGUGCCCUGCCUGGAGCCUUUUCUUUAAUAUAAAAAUAAAUGUUAGUCAAUUUGUUUAAAUAUAAACAUGUGAGCUGCUUGAGCACAGGGACUAUAUCAUAAUGUCUUUUGCUCUCUUACAAAUCAUCAACGAAUGGAUUAUGCUGUUUCCCCCUGUGGUGAGCUGCUGGCUGAGCUACUUAAAAUACCCUUUGUCUACAGCCUCCGUUUCUCUCCUGGCUACGCAAUUGAAAAGCAUGGUGGAGGACUUCUGUUCCCUCCUUCCUAUGUGCCUGUUGUUAUGUCAGAAUUAAGUGAUCAAAUGACUUUCAUGGAGAGGGUAAAAAAUAUGAUCUAUGUGCUUUAUUUUGACUUUUGGUUCCAAAUAUGGGAUAUGAGGAAGUGGGAUCAGUUUUACAGUAAAGUUCUAGGAAAUGGAAGAGUUUGUCCAAAGCUCUGGAGAAAAUGGUGUUGUGGUGUUUUCUCUGGGGUCAAUGGUCAGUAACACAUCAGAAGAAAGGGCCAAUGUAAUUGCAACAGCCCUUGCCAAGAUCCCACAAAAGGUUCUGUGGAGAUUUGAUGGCAAUAAACCAGAUACCUUAGGACUCAAUACUCAGCUUUAUAAGUGGAUACCCCAGAAUGAUCUUCUUGGUCACCCAAAAACCAGAGCUUUUAUAACUCAUGGUGGAGCCAAUGGCAUCUACGAGGCGAUCUACCAUGGAAUCCCUAUGGUUGGCGUUCCAUUGUUUGCAGAUCAACUUGAUAACGUUGCACACAUGAAGGCCAAGGGCGCAGCUGUUAGUUUGGACUUCAACACAAUGUCGAGUACAGACUUACUCAACGCACUGAAGACAGUAAUUAAUGAU